AAUGAACGUUGGCGGCGUGGAUUAGGCAUGCAAGUCGAGCGCGAUACACCCUUCGGGGUGUGGAAAGCGGCGAAAGGGAGAGGAACACGUGGAUUAUCUACCCCUGGACCCAGGAUAGCUGCGGGAAACUGCAGGUAAUACUGGAUAACGUCUCCGGACCAAAGGUGUGAUUCCGUCCAGGGAGGAGUUCGCGUCCUAUUAGCUAGUUGGCAGGGUAACGGCCUACCAAGGCGAUGAUGGGUACCGGUGUGAGAGCAUGGCCCGGCUCACUGGGACUGAGACACUGCCCAGACACCUACGGGAGGCAG
rnacentral:rRNA from 1 species